UACGGAGGGUGCAAGCGUUAUCCGGAUUUACUGGGUUUAAAGGGUGCGUAGGUGGGUAGGUAAGUCAGUGGUGAAAUCUUCGAGCUUAACUCGGAAACUGCCAUUGAUACUAUUUAUCUUGAAUACUUUGGAGGUAAGCGGAAUAUGUCAUGUAGCGGUGAAAUGCUUAGAUAUGACAUAGAACACCGAUUGCGAAGGCAGCUUACUACACAGUUAUUGACACUGAGGCCCGAAAGCGUGGGGAUCAAACAGG
rnacentral:rRNA from 1 species